rnacentral:ncRNA from 1 species
AGAAAGCCCUAGAAAGUUCUACACAGGGAUAUCUGGCUUGUGGCAGCCAAGCGUUUAUAGCGACGUUGCUUUUGAUCCUUCGAUGUCGGCCCUUUCUAUCUACUGAAGCAGAGUUCAGUAAGCGUUGGAUUGUUCAUUCAUUAAUAGGGAACAAGACCUGGGGUUUAGACCGUCGUGAGACAGGCUAGUUU